UGGGAUGAUAAUGUGUAUGAUGCUGAUGUC
rnacentral:piRNA from 2 species